rnacentral:sRNA from 1 species
GACUUUUAAUGCAUACAAGGGCUUGCAGUGUGCAACUCCAACAAAAAGGAUCGGAGAAGAAAAUUAAGCACUAUUAAACAGUUUGCAUAGCCAUACGAAACAUACUCUGAAGGAUAGGCAUCUUCUGAAUGAUGUAUACACUGCUAUGCGACUACACUGGCACUCUUUUAUACCCAGCCACGGUGAGCAAUGCCGACAAAGUAACCUUUGCGAUAGAUACAAUUUGUUCAAAAUCAUACCCCUCCCUAUCAGAGAUAUCCCCGGAAUUAUGGUACAUUGGGUCCACAAUGGGACCAUUGCGCUCGAAAACUUGCGUAGCUGGAAAGCCGUAGGUAACGAAGCUUUGGUGAUCGGAGCAGCAGGCUGCAGUCUUCCCAACAACAAGCUCUGGAGAAUAGAGUUGGGAAAGGUUACCAAUCAAAUAGCUUGCUUCGGGAAGGUGUAUGCUACAGGGAAAGGUAUCAGUAGGAUCCUCAUAUUACGAGAAUGAUGCGAGCAGAAUCAUCAUUUAAACAUACGUUUUUGGUAAACCCAGCUGCAGAGGUUCGCCAGGCUUAUCAUAUGUCAGCAGAUAACAUGAAUACCCAAG